rnacentral:lncRNA from 1 species
GUAUCCACUGCUGGUUUCCAGUUCAGCUCCCUUCGAAGCCACCGACUCCCCAGUGUGAGCCUCCGACCUUCCUUCCAUCCAGUCAUGUUGCUCUCCUAAAGUCAGCCUCCAGUCUCCAUCAAGGAAGAUAGCGCUCCUAUCCAUUGGGUAUUUUCAAAGGUGUGUGUGUGUGUGUGUGUGUGUGUGUGUGUGUGUGUGUGUGUUUAUAAAAUUGCAACUUCUCACACUUUUGAAUAGCCCCUUUCUUGGCAGGAGAAUUCAGUAUUUAAGGCUGUAUUUUUCUGUUGUUUACUUGAUGCAAGGACAUCUGUGGAUCCUGGGAGAUUCUCCUUUCUAGUAAAGAACAGAUAAUUUUGUGAUUCACAGUAAACUGAAGCAAAUUUCAUUUUUCUUUUCUUUUUCUCGUGAAAGAAAGAAAAGCCCCCCCCCCCCCCGUGAUAUUGAUUGGAUUACUUAAAGUGCCUAACUCACCUUAGAAAUCACUAAAUUCAUCAUGUAGAAUGGUCACAGCAGAAUGAGUUAUAACCAGAGUAAAUAAUAGGAAGAAAGAAAGGAAGGAAGGAAGGGAAAGCCAAGCAGAGAUAACCCAUAAGAAAUGUCAAGUCAUUAUAGUGUUUAUGGAACACCCCACAGCACCCUCACACUCAUCUGUAUUAUUAAGCAAAAAAGUGAAUGGUCCGGAGAACAACAGGAAGCAGGAAGCUCAUUGGUUCUCUAAGUGUGGUCUGGGUAGCCUCAGCAUCAUCUUGCCUGGGAAGCUGUAGAAAUGCAGGCUCAUAGGCUCCACCUCAAACAUUCCACACUAGGGGGGAGAGCCAGUAAGCCACUGAAGCUCGCAGGGUGACUAGGAUCUGAAAAGCACCAAUGCCAUGUAGGGUCGGGCUGACCCACCAGGAAGUGUGUGUAGGGUCAGGUUGACCCAUCAGGAAGGCAGAUCAGGGCAAGGAAUUGAGGAACUUCCCUAGAAGAACUAGAAUAUACGACAAGAGUUCCUGACUUCUUACAUCACGGCUCUUAUACUCACAGUCAGAGGCAAAAAUGAGACUUCUUACUGUUUAAAUAUCCAAGGAAAAGGCAGGGUUACAAUGUAGGACACUAGAUAGAAAUAUACCAGUGAUAGAAUACUUACUUGACAGGGCUUAAUUGCCAGCACAGCAAACAACGACAACAAUAAUAUAUUUUAGACAUAAAGACUCCGGUAGAUGGACUAUAAAGAUGACUUCUUUGGUAUAAAGGCCCUCCACACAAUUCUGAGGACCCAAAUUAUCCCUAGCACCCAUGUAAAAGCCAGUGUGGUAGGAUGUACCUAUAAUCCCAAUACUAGAGAGGCAAAGACAAGGAGGAUGCUGGGUGCUGACUCGAUGGCCGGUGAAUAGUGGCACAGUGUAAGCUCAAGGUGAGGUGAGAAAGCCUGUGUCUAAAAUGGAAGAUGAUAAAGAUAACUUUGACUCUCUGUGUGCAUGUGUCUCCCCACAACCAGCAUGUGCAUCGACAUACAACCUCUCACACACAUGCAUGCACUCAUCCAAGAAGACAAGAGAGAUAAAACAUGUUUCCCCAGGAUGAAUCUAAGCAGUGGGAAAUACUGAGAUGUUUAUUGGCAUGCACAGACACAAUACAUCUACAAGGACACUGGCAACUCCUCUGCAGAGGCACACAUGGUGAUGCUUGGUUCAUUUUAAGGUGUAAAAACUAGCUCUAGCUCAGCCGUUGGGCCAUUUCGAUUCAUUCUUGUUAGCUUACAGUUUCAGUUUACAAAGCACUUAAUGAGCACAGCAUCUCUUAUUCAUCCUGCGGUAUGUUCAGCUCUUUCAACUAAUGGAUGGAUUUCUACUCCCUUUCCAAGUAUUCACUUAUAAGAUGCAUUUGAGUUCCCUUUUUGUAUGCAAACAGCCAAAUCAUGCAAUUAGGACUUGCCCACUUCUCCAGAACAAGGGGCCAGAACAGACACAGGUCAGGACUGUGCAAUUUUUAUGUUCAGGCGCAUCCAUUAAACCAGCCGUGGGAGACUCACUUAAGUAAAGUGCAGUAUUCUUUAACAGCUGCUUUGCCACACAAAGAAAACCAGCAUUGUGACACCUCCCUGUAGCCUCUGUAUCUCUUGAAUCGAACUUUCAAUGUCAGAACAGAGAUUAAAAUGAUGUCACUUAAUACAGAGCGCUGCUCUUCUCUCUCCUCCCUGGCUCGCAGUGUUGUGUGUUGAAAGUUACCUUUUAAGGCUUACACAAUGUUGAUGAUGUGUCCCGAUAGUGACACGUAAACAAGUAGCAAAGAGUGUCUGACCAUGAAUGAACCUGAGCAGUCCAUUCUCCAAAAACUGGGGAAAUAGACACACACACACACACACACACACACACACCCUACCCCGUUCCAUCCUAAUCUAGAUGUAGAGUAAUCUGAUCCAAGAGACUUCGCCUCUAGGGUCACUUAGUAAGAUUUACCACAAUUG